UACUCGAGUGGCGAACGGGUGAGUAACACGUGGGUGAUCUGCCCUGCACUUCGGGAUAAGCUUGGGAAACUGGGUCUAAUACCGGAUAGGAGCCAUCUUUAGUGUGGUGGUUGGAAAGUUUUUUCGGUGUAGGAUGAGCUCGCGGCCUAUCAGCUUGUUGGUGGGGUAAUGGCCUACCAAGGCGGCGACGGGUAGCCGGCCUGAGAGGGUGUACGGCCACACUGGGACUGAGAUACGGCCCAG
rnacentral:rRNA from 1 species